GCCCUCGUAGCUCAAUGGACAGAGCACCGGACUUCUAAUCCGACGGUUGCAGGUUCGAAUCCUGCCGAGGGCGCCU
rnacentral:tRNA from 1 species